rnacentral:rRNA from 1 species
AAAGUCUGACGGAGCAACGCCGCGUGAGUGAUGACGGCCUGGGUUGUAAAGCUCUGUUAAUCGGGACGAAAGGCCUUUUUGCGAACAGUUAGAAGGAUUGACGGUACCGGAAUAGAAAGCCACGGCUAACUACGUGCCAGCAGCCGCGGUAAUACGUAGGUGGCAAGCGUUGUCCGAAAUUAUUGGGCGUAAAGCGCGCGCAGGCGGAUUGGUCAGUCUGUCUUAAAAGUUCGGGGCUUAACCCCGUGAUGGGAUGGAAACUGCCAAUCUAGAGUAUCGGAGAGGAAAGUGGAAUUCCUAGUGUAGCGGUGAAAUGCGUAGAUAUUAGGAAGAACACCAGUGGCGAAGGCGACUUUCUGGACGAAAACUGACGCUGAGGCGCGAAAGCCAUGGGGAGCGAACGGGAUUAGAUACCCCGGUAGUCCUGGCCGUAAACGAUGGGUACUAGGUGUACGAGGUAUCGACCCCUUCUGUGCCGGAGUUAACGCAUAAGUACCCCGCCUGGGGAGUAC